rnacentral:rRNA from 1 species
CCAAUAGUUAUCGUUCUCCCCAAUUUAAAAAAUUUGGCGGCCCUUUAGUCUUAUCCAAGGAACCUGUUUACUAAUUGACCUCCACGAUUAAGCUUACUCCUCUAAAUCAAUGCACACACCCCCCCCAUGAAUAUUCUAACAAAUUUAUUUCCUUUUCUUAUUUUUAUAAUUUAUGUUAAGCCAAGAUGUGGUUUAUAAAUAAGAUAAUAUGGGUUACCUUAAAUUUUAUUUUUGGAUUUUAAAUGAAAAUUGAAAUGAAAUUGGAUUUAAUAAUAAAUUUAUUUAUUUAAUUAAUAUGAAUAAAGAUCUAAAAUAUGUACCUAUUGCCCCUCCUUCCUAUUAAAAAUAAAACCAGUCGUAACAAGUAAAUGUACUGGAAAGUGUAUUUAGAAAGAUUAAUUUUAAAAA